rnacentral:lncRNA from 1 species
GCUGGGCCCCGGGUCUCUCACUGGCAGAAUGGAGUUCUCGGAGCUGAUCCAUACGGGCUGAGCCCAAGCAGAGUUUCUACGGGGCCCGGAGGCGCCCCCGCUUCGCGGCACGGUGUGAGUCACCGUCCACCACCUGCUCCUGUCGCCAGGGCCCGCGUCCUCUCCGGACCUGUGGCUGCUGCUGUUGCGUAGCGUCGACUCCUUCGAGAAGCAGUUCUGCUACGCUCCAGCCAGCCCCUAACUGGUCCCCAGAAGCGGCGCUGCUACAGGGACCAGGAGCUGCUGCGAACUGCGCUGGCGGGGGCUCGUCCUUGGGCGCGGGGCUUCAUCAUGGACACGCUCUCGGCCCAGGCCGCGAAACAAGCCCGCGUGACUGGCGGAGGCACAGAGACCAAGGCCGCUUAACCUGGCUGGUUGCACUGGUCCCUGGAGAGCACUGAGCACAGGGGCUGCCACAGUGGCCGGCUCAGACAUGGCAGAGAUCAGCAGAGAAUGGGCAAUCAGGCUCCCCUGAGAUGAGCAGCAGCGCAGAGGAGGUGCCCCUCUCUUACUACACCAACUUCAGAGGGCGUCCCCUGCAGGAGAGCUUCAUGCGCCUGGUGGAGGCCUGUGGGGACUCGGAGCAAAGCAUGGACAACUGGCUGAGUCGGCUGGACGGCUGCCGCUGACUGUAACAUGUAAAGCAGGCACUGAGCACCACCUGCCUGGCAGUCCAGGGCAUGGAGAGAUGCCGUGUGAAGGGAGGACUCAGAUGCACUCCCUGUGGUCUGGGCUCAACCAGCCAAAAGAGCAACAAAGACUCCAGAACCCACUCUACCUCCUCAAUCCCUUGGCCAUCUGUGGAGCCCCAGAGCCUGCGGCUGUGGCAAGGCCUGUUUCUGCGCUGGACCUGCUCACCUGAGCCUGCAGAAGCUGCAUGGGGGAAGAGUGUGGCAAAUAGUGACAGGAAGGGAGAAGACAGAAGCCUCUCAGCCAACUGCUUCAGCCGAGCCCCUAUUCUAAGCACUGGCUCCUUGGAUAGCAGCUGAGAUGUUCCUGAAACCUCUGCAGGCCCCUUAGGACCUUUACACCUUGGAUGAGGGUGCCUGCAACCCAGGUUAGCCAAAAGUACUGAGGGUCUUAAGUUUGAAGUGUCCAAAGUAUAGGGAGGUCUCAAUAAUAAAAGUCUCCAUGAUCAGCA